GAUAAACGCUGGCGGCGCACAUAAGACAUGCAAGUCGAACGGACUUAACCAUUAGUUUACUAUUGGAGCGGUUAGUGGCGGACUGGUGAGUAACACGUAAGCAACCUGCCUAUCAGAGGGGAACAACAGUUAGAAAUGACUGCUAAUACCGCAUAUGCCUAAGUACCACAUGGUACAAUAGGGAAAGGAGCAAUCCGCUGAUAGAUGGGCUUGCGUCUGAUUAGUUAGUUGGUGGGGUAACGGCCUACCAAGACGACGAUCAGUAGCCGGACUGAGAGGUUGAACGGCCACAUUGGGACUGAGAUACGGCCCAG
rnacentral:rRNA from 1 species